AUACGGAGGGGGCUAGCGUUGUUCGGAAUCAUUGGGCGUAAAGCGCGUGUAGGUGGCUUGGAAAGUUGGAUGUGAAAGCCCGGGGCCCAACCCCGGAAUUGCACUCAAAACUCCCUCGCUAGAGUCCCGGAGAGGAAGGCGGAAUUCCCGGUGUAGAGGUGAAAUUCGUAGAUAUCGGGAGGAACACCAGUGGCGAAGGCGGCCUUCUGGACGGUGACUGACACUGAGACGCGAAAGCGUGGGGAGCAAACAGGAUUAGAUACCCCGGUAGUCC
rnacentral:rRNA from 1 species